UACGUAGGGGGCAAGCGUUGUCCGGAAUUAUUGGGCGUAAAGGGUGCGUAGGCGGCCUUUUAAGUCAGAUGUGAAAGACCACGGCUUAACCGUGGGGUUGCAUUUGAAACUGGAGGGCUUGAGUAUCGGAGAGGGUAGUGGAAUUCCCAGUGUAGCGGUGGAAUGCGUAGAUAUUGGGAGGAACACCAGUGGCGAAGGCGACUACCUGGACGAAAACUGACGCUGAGGCACGAAAGCUAGGGGAGCAAACAGG
rnacentral:rRNA from 1 species